CAGAGGGGGCAAGCGUUGUUCGGAAUUACUGGGCGUAAAGGGCGCGUAGGCGGCCUUCUAAGUCGAACGUGAAAUCCCCGGGCUCAACCCGGGAACUGCGUCCGAUACUGGAAGGCUUGAAUUCGGGAGAGGGAUGCGGAAUUCCAGGUGUAGCGGUGAAAUGCGUAGAUAUCUGGAGGAACACCGGUGGCGAAGGCGGCAUCCUGGACCGGCAUUGACGCUGAGGCGCGAAAGCCAGGGGAGCAAACGGGAUUAGAUACCCCGGUAGUCCUGGCCCUAAACGAUGAAUGCUUGGUGUGGCGGGUAUCGAUCCCUGCCGUGCCGAAGCUAACGCAUUAAGCAUUCCGCCUGGGGAGUACGGUCGCAAGGCUG
rnacentral:rRNA from 1 species